rnacentral:rRNA from 1 species
GAUGAACGCUGGCGGCGUGCCUAAUACAUGCAAGUCGAGCGAACAGACGAGGAGCUUGCUCCUCUGACGUUAGCGGCGGACGGGUGAGUAACACGUGGAUAACCUACCUAUAAGACUGGGAUAACUUCGGGAAACCGGAGCUAAUACCGGAUAAUAUAUUGAACCGCAUGGUUCAAUAGUGAAAGACGGUUUUGCUGUCACUUAUAGAUGGAUCCGCGCCGCAUUAGCUAGUUGGUAAGGUAACGGCUUACCAAGGCAACGAUGCGUAGCCGACCUGAGAGGGUGAUCGGCCACACUGGAACUGAGACACGGGCCAGACUCCUACGGGAGGCAGCAGUAGGGAAUCUUCCGCAAUGGGCGAAAGCCUGACGGAGCAACGCCGGGUGAGUGAGGAAGGUCUUCGGAUCGUAAAACUCUGUUAUUAGGGAAAAAAAAAUGUGUAAGUAACUAUGCACGUUUUGACGGUACCUAAUCAGAAAGCCCCGGCUAACUACGU